GCAUGCGGGGAUAGUACGUUGAAUCCAACAGUUCCCAAUGGAUCACUGAAGCAACGUUACGCGUGGUUAGUAUCCGGAUGGGUGAACAUCUGGGCAAUCGCAAGUUGCUGGUU
rfam:Asian citrus Psyllid, Diaphorina citri - Florida Strain, whole genome shotgun sequence.